CUUGGAGCCAAUGGGCUAUGGAUCUACAAACUAAACAUGAAGUACUACAAGAGGAAGAGACACAAACUCUACCUGGCACAAGUGUGAAUCAUUUCAAACCAUUAAGAACCACUCUUGGAAUGAAUGAAUAUAGCUGAAUCUGCCAGUGUCUUAUGGGGAAGGAGAAGGACUAAUUGUUUUCUCACCACAGAGGCCUGGGCAUGUGGCUUGGUGACAGGCUGCCUAUCUGCCACAUAUGAGGUCCUGGGUUUGAUCCUCAUCCCUGGAAGAAGAAAGCCAUAGAGUCAGCUUUGAACACAAACUGGUUUUCUGAGACAUAUUCACCUAAGGAAUAAAAAUCAACCUCCGGCUGGA